AGAGUUUGAUCCUGGCUCAGGACGAACGCUGGCGGCGUGCUUAACACAUGCAAGUCGAACGGAAAGGCCCUUCGGGGUACUCGAGUGGCGAACGGGUGAGUAACACGUGGGUGAUCUGCCCUGCACUUUGGGAUAAGCCUGGGAAACUGGGUCUAAUACCGAAUAGGACUACGCGAUGCAUGUCGUGUGGUGGAAAGCUUUUGCGGUGUGGGAUGGGCCCGCGGCCUAUCAGCUUGUUGGUGAGGUUACGGCUCACCAAGGCGACGACGGGUAGCCGGCCUGAGAGGGUGACCGGCCACACUGGGACUGAGAUACGGCCCAGACUCCUACGGGAGGCAGCAGUGGGGAAUAUUGCACAAUGGGCGCAAGCCUGAUGCAGCGACGCCGCGUGAGGGAUGACGGCCUUCGGGUUGUAAACCUCUUUCGCCAGGGACGAAGCGCAAGUGACGGUACCUGGAGAAGAAGGACCGGCCAACUACGUGCCAGCAGCCGCGGUAAUACGUAGGGUCCGAGCGUUGUCCGGAAUUACUGGGCGUAAAGAGCUCGUAGGUGGUUUGUCGCGUUGUUCGUGAAAACUCACAGCUCAACUGUGGGCGUGCGGGCGAUACGGGCAGACUGGAGUACUGCAGGGGAGACUGGAAUUCCUGGUGUAGCGGUGGAAUGCGCAGAUAUCAGGAGGAACACCGGUGGCGAAGGCGGGUCUCUGGGCAGUAACUGACGCUGAGGAGCGAAAGCGUGGGGAGCGAACAGGAUUAGAUACCCUGGUAGUCC
rnacentral:rRNA from 1 species